GGUGAGUCCUGAGAUGCUCUUAUUUCAGCAGGGAGCAUAUUCCAAAAACCCUGGGGCAGCCACAGAGAAAGCCCAGUCCUGGGACACCACCAAAUGACCCAGCGACAAUCGUAACCGGACCUCUCCAGAAGAUCGUAACAGGCGGCUGAGUUCAUGAUGAAGAAGGUGCUCUCUUAUGGCUAUAGUUCAACCGUAACCUUCCCUUCCUCCACAAAGGUUCAGGCAACAUUCAGAAAGUAUUCCUCUUUUAUCCCCACAACAAUCAGACAAGAGAGAGACUGCAAGUGGUCCGAGGCUUCACAUCAUCUUUGGGGCUGACUGAGGAAAUGUCCCUGCCUGCUAUGGGUCCUGAGCUGUGGAGGAUUCUGCUCUUUGAAUUCAACAAUUUUAAACAGGAAAAGGGU